GGACGAAAGUCUGACGGAGCAACGCCGCGUGAGUGAAGAAGGUUUUCGGAUCGUAAAACUCUGUUUUCAGGGACGAAUGUGUGGAUUGUAAAUAAUGAUCCAUAAUGACGGUACCUGACAAGAAAGCCACGGCUAACUACGUGCCAGCAGCCGCGGUAAUACGUAGGUGGCAAGCGUUGUCCGGAAUUAUUGGGCGUAAAGCGCGCGCAGGUGGGAUAAUCAGUCUGAUGUUAAAGUUCGGGGCUUAACCCCGUGAAGCAUUGGAUACUGUUAUUCUUGAGUGCAGGAGAGGAAAGUGGAAUUCCUAGUGUAGCGGUGAAAUGCGUAGAUAUUAGGAGGAACACCAGUGGCGAAGGCGACUUUCUGGACUGUGUCUGACACUGAGGCGCGAAAGCCAGGGUAGUGAACGGGAUUAGAUACCCCGGUAAUCCUGGCCGUAAACGAUGGGUACUAGGUGUUGGGGGUAUCGACCCCUCCAGUGCCGGAGUUAACGCAAUAAGUACCCCGCCUGGGGAGUACGG
rnacentral:rRNA from 1 species